UGGGGAAUAUUGGACAAUGGGCGCAAGCCUGAUCCAGCCAUGCCGCGUGGAUGAUGAAGGCCCUAGGGUUGUAAAGUCCUUUUAACGGGGAAGAUAAUGACGGUACCCGUAGAAUAAGCCCCGGCUAACUUCGUGCCAGCAGCCGCGGUAAUACGAAGGGGGCUAGCGUUGCUCGGAAUUACUGGGCGUAAAGCGCACGUAGGCGGACCGAUAAGUCGGGGGUGAAAUCCUGGAGCUCAACUCCAGAACUGCCUUCGAAACUGCCGGUCUUGAGUUCGGGAGAGGUGAGUGGAACUGCGAGUGUAGAGGUGAAAUUCGUAGAUAUUCGCAAGAACACCAGUGGCGAAGGCGGCUCACUGGCCCGAGACUGACGCUGAGGUGCGAAAGCGUGG
rnacentral:rRNA from 1 species